CUGGAGACAGGAACACAAACCUCUUCAGAGAGGAAAGGGUAUGGCCAGCAGCUACUCCAGCAACUCACUAACCACUGAACUGGGCAACUAGGAGCUGGUAACCAAUGAAAAUUAAAUAUGACACUUCUGUAGAGCAGGGGCAGCCGCCCCGCACGGCACUCACUCGUCGAUGGCGAUCUCGGAGGGGAUCUCGGACCAGAGGCGGGCGUACUUGACGGGGGUGACCUGCUCCUGGGGGUCCCUGUCCACGUGCAUGUGCAGCAUGAGGCGGCAGAAGGAGGCGCGCAGGUCGUAGGGCAGGUUCUCGUCGGCCAUGCAGCGCAGGAUCAGGUCCACGUCCAGCUGCCCCGAGAUCUCGUUGAUGGCCAGGAACCACGCUGAUGCCAUGGAUCACGACAGACAUUUUUCCAACCUGAUUCUUCCUGUAGUCCUGCUGGGAGUGCCUGAGCACCCUGUAGCAGAGCCUGCAGAUGUGCCUGAAGGGCGCGUGGCGCUGGUCCCCCAGC